GACGGACGCUGGCGGCGUGCUUAACACAUGCAAGUCGAGCGAUGAAGCACCUUCGGGUGUGGAUUAGCGGCGAACGGGUGAGGAACACGUGAGGAAUCUGCCUUCCACUCUGGGAUAACUCCGGGAAACCGGGGCUAAUACCGGAUAUAUUCAACUGGCGGCAUCGCCGGUUGAAGAAAGUUUUUCGGUGGAAGAUGACCUCGCGGCCUAUCAGCUUGUUGGUGAGGUAAAGGCUCACCAAGGCGACGACGGGUAGCCGGCCUGAGAGGGUGACCGGCCACACUGGGACUGAGACACGGCCCAGACUCCUACGGGAGGCAGCAGUGGGGAAUAUUGGGCAAUGGAGGAAACUCUGACCCAGCGACGCCGCGUGAGGGAUGAAGGCCUUCGGGUUGUAAACCUCUUUCAGCAGGGAAUAAGCGAAAGUGAAGGUACCUGCAGAAGAAGCACCGGCUAACUAUGUGCCAGCAGCCGCCGUAA
rnacentral:rRNA from 1 species